rnacentral:rRNA from 1 species
GGUUCGAUUAUGGCCUAGAUUGAACGCUGGCGGGAGAUGCUUUGCAUGCAAGUCGAACGGCAGCACGGACUUCGGUCUGGUGGCGAGUGGCGAACGGGUGAGUAAUGUAUCGGAACGUGCCUAGUAGCGGGGGAUAACUACGCGAAAGCGUAGCUAAUACCGGCACAGGCCCUCUUCGGGGAAAGCGGGGACCUUCGGGCCUCGCAACUAUUAGGGAUGGGCCGAUAUCGGAUUAGCUAGUUGUGGGGUAACGGCUCACCGCGACGAUCCGUAGCUGGUUUGAGAGGACGACCAGCCACACUGGGACUGGAGAGCACGGCCCAGACUCCUACGGGAGGCAGGGAAUUUGACAAUGGGGGAAACCCUGAUCCAGCCAUCUCAUGUGUGCGAUGAAGGGCCUUCGGGUUGUAAAGCACUUUUGGCAGGAAAGAAGAAAUGGCACGGGAUAACACCUCGUCAACUGACGGUACCUGCAGACAAGCACAGGCUAACUACGCGCCAGCAGCCGCGGUAAUACGUAGGGUGCAAGCGUUAAUCGGAAUUACUGGGCGUAAAGCGUGCGCAGGCGGUUCUGGAAAGAAAGAUGAACCUGAGCUUAAAUUUGGAACUGCAUUUUUAAUCACCGAGCUAGAGUGUGCCGAGGGAGGUAACGCGUGUAGCAGUGAAAUGCGUAGAUAUGCGGAGAACACCGAUGGCGAAGGCAGCUUCCUUGGGAUAACACUGACGCUCAUGGUCGAAAGCGUGGGGACAAGCUGAUUGAUACCCGGUAGCUCACGCCCUAAACGAUGUCAACUAGCUGCGGGGCUUUCUGGCCUGUUAGCGCAGCUAAUGGUGAAGUUGACCUGGCCUGGGGAGUACGGUCGCAAGAUUAAAACUUCUCAAAGGAAUUGACGGGGACCCGCACAAGCGGUGGAUGAUGUGGAUGAAUUCGAUGCAACGCGAAACCUUACCUACCCUUGAUAUGUUCAACCCCGAAGAGAUUUGGGAGUGCUCGCAAGAGAACCGGAAACACAGGUGCCGCAGCCAAGCUGUCGCGCCAGGUCGCCGUGAGAUGUUGCUGGUGUCCCGCGCAACGAGCGCAACCCUGGUCAUUAGUUACGAUGAAAGGCACGACGAGACUGCCGGUGACAAACCGGAGGAAGGUGGGGUGAUGACGUCAAGUCCUCAUGGCCCUUAUGGGUAGGGCUUCACACGUCAUACAAUGGUCGGGACAGGUCGCCAACCCGCGAGGGGGAGCCAAUCCCCAGAAACCCGAUCGUAGUCCGAUCACAGUCUGCAACUCUGACUGCGUGAAGUCGGAAUUGCUAUAAUCGCGGAUCAGCAUGUCGCGGUGAAUACGUUCCUGGGUCUUGUACACACUGCCCGUCACACCAUGGAGUGGGUUUACCAGAAGUGAAGCAGCCUAACCGUAAGGAGGGCGAUUACCACGGUAGGAUUCCAUGAUCAGUGAGUCGUAAUAAGGU